GACUGCGCAAUAUACGAAGGCUGCGCAUCAGCGCAAAAUGGCAGGGAUGCUUUCGGACCGGGCCACCAGCUCCGAUGACGAUGCCGAUGACGACGUCGUGCCGAAAAAAUUGCUCAUUGAAGAGCAAAAAAAAAUGCAACGCUCUGCCGCAAACUGGCAAUUCUAAGAAGAGAGAAAGACGAGCUGCAGGCACGGCAUGAUCGCCUAGAGGAUAACCUUCUCAACAGACUCGAAUCCUUGCUUACAACAAAUUGCCGUCAGUGCUGCAAGGAGAACACUGUGCCUACAAGCUUUGUACAUAAAGAUAGUGCUCCAAGGGAGGACAGCUUCAGAAUGGGCCACAUCAGUCCACGCAUCACAUCAGUCGGACCAGAUCAA